rnacentral:tRNA from 1 species
GGGAGCAUAGUUCAGUUGGUAGAAUGUCGGUCUCCAAAACCGAAGGUCGGAGGUUCGAAUCCUUCUGCUUCUGCGA